CGUGCCAGCAGCCGCGGUAAGACGUAAGACGCGAGCGUUAUCCGGAAUUACUGGGCGUAAAGGGCCAGCAGGCGGCUUGGUAAGUUGUGCGUGAAAGCCUCGUGCUCAACGCGAGGAAACCGGACAAUACUGUCAAGCUAGAGGGCAUCAGAGGGGAGUGGAAUUCCCGGAGUAGCGGUAAAAUGCGCAGAUAUCGGGAGGAACACCGAUGGCGAAGGCAGCUCCCUGGGAUGCACCUGACGCUAAGAGGCGAAAGCUAGGGGAGCGAACAGGAUUAGAGACCCUGGUAGUCCUAGCUGUAAACGCUGGGUGCUAGGUGUGGGACGUAGAAGUUCCGUGCCGGAGCAAACGCGAUAAGCACCCCGCCUGGGAAUUACGGUCGCAAGGCUAAUACUCAAACGAAUUGACGGGGCCCCGCACAAGCAGCGGAGCGUGUGGUUCAAUUCGAUGCUACACGAAGAACCUUACCUGGGUUUGACAUGUACGUGGUACGAAGGCGAAAGCCUAAGGACCCUUCGGGGAGCGUACACAGGUGCUGCAUGGCUGUCGUCAGCUCGUGCCGUGAGGUGUCGGGUUAAGUCCCGUAACGAGCGCAACCCUUGCCCUUAGUUACAAGUGUCUAAGGGGACUGCCGGCGGGAAGCCGGAGGAAGGUGGGGAUGACGUCAAGUCAGCAUGGCCCUUAUGUCCAGGGCUACACACACGCUACAAUGGUCAGUACAAAGGGUAGCGAAGUCGCGAGNCGGAGCGAAUCUCAACAAAGCUGAUCGUAGUUCGGAUUGCAGGCUGCAACCCGCCUGCAUGAAGCUGGAGUUGCUAGUAACCGCGCGUCAGCCAUA
rnacentral:rRNA from 1 species